rnacentral:rRNA from 1 species
AUGCGCUUCGGACCGCCGCCAUGGAUGGCUGUGUCCCGCGCCCGAGCUCCAUUAGCCGCCGUCGUUGCCCGGAACCGAUGCCGCACGACUCGAUCCGCCCGUUCCCGCCGGUUCCCGCCGUCCCCGUCGCUGGGACCCCCUGCCGUCGUCACCUGCAUCUCCAUGGGCGUGCUGCUGUUUUUGUUCUUCAGAAACAAACAACAGCAGCUCACCCGCUCAUCUCGCUCGCGCGUUGACCGAGCGCAGCGCUAG